GCAAGAAAAUAAAAUAUAGAUAUGAACAAUUUAAAAACCACGACAAAAGAGUGUUAUCUAGUACCAGGGGAAUUUGGAGUACUAGUUCAGGUAUUUAUUGGAUGUGUGUCAUUAGCCGUAUUGUUAACUAAGUAUAUUUUAGAAAAGCCAAGGAGAACAAUUAAUAAAUUUUUAAAUGAUGUAAUAAUCAUUUUGUGUGGAUCUUCUACAAUUCACUUUUUAAAUAUAUCAUUAUGCAUAUUUAUUACACGGUUUAAUAUAUUACCAAUAUCAUGUAAUACUAUAAUGGAUGAAUGUUCCAUAUAUCUUGUUAUAAUUAUUAUUGAUGCUACACUAGGUUUAUAUUUACAACAUAAACUAUUAUCGUUAAUGAAAUUUUUAAAAUUUAGAAAACAUUAUGUAAAUAAUUACACCGAUGUGUGUAUAUACAAACCCGUUGAUGUUUUAUCACAAUAUUUAACUUAUAUAAAGUUUAGUAAUAAUUACAACAAACAAAAAAUCGAUGAAAGUAAAACUUACAUGGGAGCUAUUAAUAAAAACAACAUAAAAAGUGACAAUAUACCUAAUAAAAAAACAGUUAGUAACACUAGUACCACUAACAAUAGCAUUAAUAAAAACGACGGCAAUAAUAUUAACGGGUAUAGUAACAAUAGCAAUGUUAAAAAUAAUAAUACAAACAAUGUCUCUAAUAUUUACAUUCAUAAUAACACAAUUAAUAAAAUUAAUGAUAACGUGUACGAAGAUGAUGUUCCUCUUGUUACAAACAACUUAUUACUAAACAUUAAUGGUACUUUCAAAAAAGAAGAAAAAAAGAAUUUCUUAAACACAAAUAAAACAAGUGUUGUUAUAAAACAAAAUGAUGAUAAUUACAAUGAAGAGUUAUUUGAAGAUAGAACGGAUAAAGAUAACAAAAUAUAUAAUUUAGAAAAUGCUAUUUAUAAUUUGAGUACGAAUGGAAAAAAACAACAAGCAGAUUACUCAGAAAAAAAAAAAAAAAAUUUAUAUGAACUCGAUGUUGAACAUAAUUAUGACGAAUAUGGUAGUGCGUAUGACAAACGUGAUGGCGCUUAUGACAAAAGUGGUGGUGUGUAUGAUAUAUUUGGUAAGUAUGAUAAAUAUAAAGAGCAAAAUAGAACAAUUUACAAAAAUGAAUUAACGUUAUUAACAGAAGAUAUAUCAAAUGAAGAGGUUUGUAUUCAUCUUGAUGAAAAUUAUUUAUUUCAUAAUGAAAACGAUAAUUCAAAUGAAAAUGUAUAUAUCGAAAUGUAUAAACAAAUUGAACACAGAUAUUUAAAUAUGACUAUUUAUGAAGGUUUAAUUUUAUGGAUGUCUGUUAUUUUAACUACAAAAGUAUUUACCUUGAUGUUUUUUUUUGUUUUUUCACCUAUCUUUAAUAUACUUAUUUUAUGUACAUUAUCCCAUAUUAGUGAUAUUAAAUGUAAGCUUUUAUUAGUAAUGGUCAUUUUCCCAUUUUUUUUGAAUUUCAUUAUAUAUUAUGUUACUGAUAGUAUAAUAAAAUCGAAUCAAAAAGGUAUAGAUGAUAAUAGUACCAUUUUUUAAUUUUAUUCUUUAUUUUUCACUUUAUUUUUUAUUUUAUUUUUUAUUUUGUUUUUUUGAGAAUAUGCAAAACCUAAAUAUUUCAAUUUUUACUUGGCACAUACUAUUAUACAUAUUACAUGUCACUCUUUUAAAUUUUGUCUUAAAAAUAAACUUAUUUGUCUAAUUCA
rnacentral:lncRNA from 1 species